rnacentral:miRNA from 1 species
UGUGGGAGCGUGUGGACAGUAUC